rnacentral:rRNA from 1 species
UACAGAGGGUGCUAGCGUUGUUCGGAAUUACUGGGCGUAAAGGGCUCGUAGGUGGCCAACUAAGUCAGACGUGAAAUCCCUCGGCUUAACCGGGGAACUGCGUCUGAUACUGGAUGGCUUGAGUUCGGGAGAGGGAUGCGGAAUUCCAGGUGUAGCGGUGAAAUGCGUAGAUAUCUGGAGGAACACCGGUGGCGAAGGCGGCAUCCUGGACCGACACUGACACUGAGGAGCGAAAGCCAGGGGAGCAAACGGG